AUUGAACGCUGGCGGCAGGCCUAACACAUGCAAGUCGAACGAGUGGAGGAAGGGUGAGUAAUGUCUGGGAAACGGCCCGAUGGAGGGGGAUAACUACUGGAAAAGGUAGCUAAUACCGCAUACCAUCGGAUGUGCGCAGAUGGGAUUAGCUAGUAGGUGGGGUAACGGCUCACCUAGGCGACGAUCCCUAGCUGGUCUGAGAGGAUGACCAGCCACCCUGGAACUGAGACCUGGUCCAGACUCCUACGUGAGGCAGCAGUGGGGAAUAUUGCACAAUGGGCGCAAGCCUGAUGCAGCCAUGCCGCGUGUAUGAAGAAGGCCUUCGGGUUGUAAAGUACUUUCAGCGAGGAGGCGUUACUCGCAGAAGAAGCACCGGCUAACUCCGUGCCAGCAGCCGCGGUAAUAC
rnacentral:rRNA from 1 species